UACGGCCAUACCACCCUGAACGCGCCCGAUCUCGUCUGAUCUCGGAAGCUAAGCAGGGUCGGGCCUGGUUAGUACUUGGAUGGGAGAUAUUGGUGAACCUGUGGCAAUGGCUGCAA
rnacentral:rRNA from 1 species